CCAUCAAUCUUCAAGUACCCAACAUGUGGCAAUGUUCCACCAUCCAUAAUAAACUCCCCACAUGUGCCACAAUCCAUCCUUACACCCCGUUCCAUGAUAUUUGACAAACAAGAAGUAGAACAACUAAUCCCUACUGCUUAUAUGGCAGGAAGACAUCGAUACAACCAAUAGGAGCUCCCUUUCCAAAAAGCAAAGCGGGGAAACCCACUUUGAUUGAUCUAAUUCGAUUAUUGAAUUCAUGAAUCUCGACAUCCAAAUUGCAAGGAGGGAAAAAAAUGGAAUAGAGAGAAGAA